CGGAAGGCAAUUUUAAAUUGACGACGCCACGCCUACUUCACAUCUCACCAAUCACAAGGACCCUUCGUCUGCAUCACCGCGCCCCCCUUUCCAACCAAUCGGAUUUCAUUCUCAUUGCCCCGCCCACUUCCUGAGACCUCUUGACAAUGUUUGACAGUCGCCGUGGCGUGAUCAAGUGCGUCGACACGCACACAAAGCAAGCUUAUUAGCAGCAAUAUUUUUGUCAACACAUUUAUCCCUACUAUGCUAGUAUCACGAAUGGGAGUGGAAAUGGAGCAGGGCAACCAAGUGCAGCUUGGACCAGGGUUUAUUGGCGGAACUCAAAAUACAGACUCGGUAACGUCAUUGCAUAGGCCCCCCAUCUGCUACUCCUGGAUGCCAGAGUGCUCGAGAUUCCACGUUCUCAUCCGGCAAGCGUAAAUUCCGUGAACGGCACACUAAACGGGAAGGUCUCCAGAUUGUGAAGUGCUGGUUGUCUUCCAAAUGGAGAAAAAGCAGGAGGGGCACGACAGGUCCAGUUGUUGGAGAGCCUCUUUGUCUGGCAGCAGAUCGGUUUCUGCAGUGCACUUAACCACACGCGGGGAUUUGAUCAAUGCGUGGGAGGCGAGGCAAGUCCGAGGUGAUGGAGGUACCUGCCAGGGCCUCACCAGCGGCAGCUCUCUUACUAAUACACUCCCUCUCCUGAGGACAUGAAUCUCAGUCGCGGCUGGAGCCCGCACAAAAACAGAAUCCAGAGUGGAUAUAGAAGUGCAACUUCAUACUGUAGAGGCUAUGUUUAGCACCUGGAAAAAAAACACCAUUAUUUUGGGGUUGAGAGGCUAAAAAUGAUGGACGUUUUUAAUCAUGAUAUUCUGCUGGUCAUUAUAUGUCGCCAGCAUCGAUAGAUGAACAAAGACACAUUAUUUUUGGUGAAUAAAUCAUUCUCAGAGCAAUUAAAUGAAACUGGAUAAUUUCCCGUGGCACAUCUGAUGAUAAUCUCUCAAUAGGCAUUCACACAAGCCUCAUUCAUCACUAGAUUUGAUCAUUUAGAACAGUGGGCGGGAACCUUUUUGACUAAGACAGCCAUAAAAGCAAAAUAUUUGGAGAUUUGUUUCAGCGAGAACCAUAGAUUGUAAAAAUAAAUUCAACUAAAUGUCAGAAUAAUAAGCCUCUGCAUUUAUUUUUUUAAAUAAUGUUAUAAUACUCCCCAUUAAUGCAACUUCUGCUGCUGCAUGGAUUUGCUGAUGUCAGUGGCUUACAUGGUUAUGUUCAAAAUGUGUGCGCAAUAUUAUAUAGAUUGAAACAUAUUUAAAAUACACACAAUUAAAAUACACAAACACUCACACAAUGCUGAUGUAUAUGCUUUUAUACACACACAAGCUUGACGGACGGGUGGGCAGGCACUCCAAACACAACUAAGAGAACAUGUGUUUCAAAAUUAUAGUUUAUUUCCACAGUGAUAGAACCAAUAGAGUUCGUAUUACCCGUUUACAGUAAGUCCGUGUGAAAGCACUGAAAAGGCAGACACGCAUACGUAUGACCUCUCACAGGAUGCCAAACCUUCUAACUAACAUUUGAAAUAUUGUUAAAGUGCAUUGGGUUAGUCAUUUUUCACAAUAUUGCACGGCCAGCGUCCACAUGCAUGUCAGUAUAUAAUGCUAAAUUAUGGCCUGUGGUUUUGUUUAUUGGUUAAUUA